CCUACGGGAGGCAGCAGUGAGGAAUAUUGGUCAAUGGACGAGAGUCUGAACCAGCCAAGUAGCGUGAAGGAUGACUGCCCUAUGGGUUGUAAACUUCUUUUAUAUGGGAAUAAAAUGUUCCACGUGUGGGAUUUUGUAUGUACCAUAUGAAUAAGGAUCGGCUAACUCCGUGCCAGCAGCCGCGGUAAUACGGAGGAUCCGAGCGUUAUCCGGAUUUAUUGGGUUUAAAGGGAGCGUAGGUGGAUUGUUAAGUCAGUUGUGAAAGUUUGCGGCUCAACCGUAAAAUUGCAGUUGAGACUGGCAGUCUUGAGUACAGUAGAGGUGGGCGGAAUUCGUGGUGUAGCGGUGAAAUGCUGAGAUAUCACGAAGAACUCCGAUUGCGAAGGCAGUUCACUGGACUGCAACUGACACUGAGGCUCGAAAGUGUGGGUAUCAAACAGGAUUAGAUACCCGAGUAGUC
rnacentral:rRNA from 1 species